AUCGGAGAUGCUAGUGCCUUGUUCUUCAUGAAGUGGUGUCAGGAUGGAGCCUGCCAACCUGAUAACAUGCAAUAGACUUCCCUCUCUUUCCAUCUUACUCUGGGGAUACUUGAAUGAGAGAUGGCAUAGAGUUCGUCUGUUUAAUUCUCCAUUUGCCUCGAACUGUAUGCCUGAUGGCAUCCUGGGAUUCUGGCAUCAUCUGCACCCCAGUUUCUGUUUCCCAUGGCAUACAAGAGCUGUGAUAAAGAUCAAAGUUGCAGAGUCGAGAA